GGCAGCCGCCUCCUGCCUGUGCGCGGCCGGCGGCCGGCCAUGCCUGGGACAUUGGGGACAUCGGGGACACCGGGCUGGUGGCCGGGGCCGCUGGACACGGCGUGGCCGGGCAGGGAUGGCCACCAGGAACCACCAGGGAGCACGGCGGGGGACAGCGGGGCACCCAAGGGUCCAACAUUCAUGGAACCAACUCCCCGAGCAGAGAAUCAAACACAGAAAGAAGCAACAAGGCUUUGGCAGUGAUUAAAUAAUUUCAAGCUGGAUUGGGAAGGUCUGGCAGUGCUUGGGAGACUGUGGAAGGUCGUUGUGGCUGGAGCUGGAGCAUCCUCAAAAAUCCACCUCACCUCUGGGCAGCAGUGGAAAACAUGGAUCUGCCCUGGCAGAUUCCCACUGCUCUUCCCUGGGAUCUGCCGAUGGAGCUACUCCCCCCUCUCUGCUGUUCUGCUACCAGCUCUCCCAAGUUUCCCUGGAGAAAGAAACCAGGAUGCUCCUUAAGCAAAAGAUCUGUGCCCAGGACACCUGAUGGAGCAUCGUGGAUGAGGGAGGAUCCCACCAAAGCUCCUUUCACACUGAGAGCCCCAAGCAGCCAUCAGAUUGCCCAGAGGGUGCAGCACUGCCCGAGGUAGCUCCAGUUCCAUCAGCAGUGUAUCCCUGAGGAAAUGAAGGGGAUGGGCCAGUGAUCUCAGUUGCUCUCUUGGAACCAUUAUUGUUGAACUGGGAUCCCCACAGAAGGCCGAGCUAUGCAGUAGGAGCCAGCACAUCCCAAAGGAAAGCAGGACCCGGUGGUGCCGCGGGAGGGACGGGACAUGCGGAGCCUCGGCUGCCUCCUCCUCCUCUGGGGACUCCUCCUCAUCCUCAGCACCACCAGCACAGAGGGCUUUGCCCAGGCAGGCCGCAGGGUGUGCGCCGCGGGGCCCAGCGCCCGGAGCGCCCCGGCAGAGUCCCACGUGCAGCCCGAGUACCAACCCUACCUCACCACCUGCCAGGGCCACCGCCUCUGCAGCACCUACAGGACCAUCUACAGGGUUGUCUACAGGCAGAGGCACCGGCAGCUGCCCGAGCCCACGGCCUCGUGCUGUCCUGGCUGGAGCAGAGCAAACGGCCACACACUGGGCUGUAACAGAGCUCUGUGCUGGGAGCCGUGCCAGAACGGCGGGAGCUGCGCCUUCCCCGGGAGAUGCUCCUGCCCCCCCGGCUGGACGGGGCGAGCCUGCCAGACAGACGUGGAUGAAUGUGCCAGCCAGAGCCACGGGUGCAGCCAGCUCUGCAUCAACACAGCCGGGAGCUUCCACUGCGCCUGCCGGGACGGCUUCAGCCUCGCUGCCGAUGGCAAGGGCUGCCAGCCCCUGCUGCCAGCAGCCGGGACUGACACCUCCAGCCAAGCAGGUCCCUCCAGUGAAAUGAAGGAAGAAAUGGAGGACCUGAGGAGCAGAGUGGAAGCGCUGGAGCAGAAGCUCCAGCUGGUGCUGGCCCCCUUCCACAACCUGAUGCCGCCAGAGGAUGUCGGUGCAGACCCCAUCAGCCGCCUGUCCCACUCCCUCCAGCAGCUGGACAGGAUCGACUCCCUGAGCGAGCAGAUCUCCUUCCUGGAGGAGAGGCUGGAGACCUGUAAGUGCCUGGAAAAAGCAGUGGGAAGGAUCUCCCUCCAGCCACGGUGGCCACACGGAGCAGAUGUGGGCCAGCAAGAUCAGUAACACAUGUGCCACUGUUAAUCUGGACCUGCCUCAAGCUCAGCAGCCUGUAAUUAAUAAAGGAUGAACACCAACAGCCCAUUAGCUUUAUUUCAAAGCUGUUUCUAUGGCUGCACUGUCUGACUGCCCUUGUAGCAGCCAAAAAUUGUAGGAUUGGCACAUGGAAAUGUGGCUGUGGGGCAGAGCUGAGGGAGGCACCUCACAGCUGCUGUCCCUUCCUGAUAACCCGGUCCUUAGGAAAGAACCCCCAGCUCUUUGGAAAUUAACAGUCCAAAAAGUCAGUCAGGGAAGUUUAGGGAGCAUGAAGAAGUUGGCAGAUUUAUGAGCCUGGGAAGUUUUAGGUGUUUCUUUUGGAAGUUUACAGACCAGGAGGGGCACCAGAGAGGGUGUCCAAAGCAGCAAAUUGAGGAAGGGACCCCUGUGAGGGCUGUCAUGUGUGAAAUGGCUGGAGGUGGGGGGGUCCUGCCUGGUAUCCCCACCACACAGAGGGACAGCAUCCCCUCGGGUCCCUGCGGUGCUCACCUUGACUCCAAGCAGAACACAACUCUCUGAACUCUUUUAUUUUGAUAGGCAGCUCUUUGCAGCUCAUUUUCCCAUUAAAUAAUUCCAAAAACUAGGCAUGGCUGGGGUGUGCAACAGCAGCUUGCUGAGUCUUUGAAAGACUCAGGAGAAACUGGUUCAGGGCAUAGCCAGUCCCAGUUCAGUGCUUGCAGUAAUGGCCGAGAGAGAAAAAUAAUUCCAAGAACUUGUUUGAAGACAAAGCAGCUGCAAAUAGACACUUAAAAACCAUCUGAGAAAGAGGUAAUUACCAGAACCACUGAGUGUUCCAGCAGGCUGAGUUUUCUAGUAGUGCCCUACACAUAUUAUUAGUGGCAGUACAGAGGAAUGUGAGCAGUAUCACAAGGUAACAUGGAUUCAUUCCAAGGGAUGACUCCAAAGUCCUGAAAUUAAUUUCUGCCAGGUCUGUCUCAGCAAGCAAAACCUGUUUUUAUCUCUUUUCGUGGUCUUGCAAGUCCCUGUAGGACACAAAGCUGUCCUGUCAUACUCCAGCAAGCUCUGGGGCUUGCAGGGCAUCCCAUGGAGUUACUCAGCCAUUCUGUGCCUGGUGGAGCAUUUCCCACCUGAAUUCUACCCUACAACUGCACUCCCCAAUUAACUGCUCAGUGGGGAUGUGUGCAAUGACAAAAAAAAACAUUUUCUCUUCUUUAAACCAAGAUCUCUUUAAGCCAUAAUGAUUUUGGCCCCUCUAGGUCUGAACUACCCCUGAUCCAGCACAGACUGUCACUGGAUUUUGGGACAUUGUGCACAGGGCCCAGGCAAGGACUGUGACGUGCCAGGGAGGUGAGAGUGACACUUCUGAGUGUGGGGGGGAUGAAGCCAGCCUGGGGUUGUUUGGCAAAAGGAAAGCAGCAAGUGUGGGUGAUAAUCCCAGAAAUUCAAGUUCCUGCAAGAAUGAACUCUAGCAGAAGGCCUGGGGACCUGGAGCAAGCUGAGUGCAUCCCAGCUCUCAUCUCCCUGUCCAGCCCCAGGCUGGGAAUGAAGGCACACCACCUACAGGGAGGCACAGGGUAGCAGGAGAAGGCUGUGCUCCCAUCAGCAUCUCCAUCGUUCUCUCUUCCAGCUCACCUCACCAAAGGUCACGCAGUUCCUUGCAAACUGGACUCUGAGCCCUCUCCCUGCUGGAGAGGCAGCAAAUAAAUGCCUUACCUCGUGCCAUGA